rnacentral:lncRNA from 1 species
UCUCACCUUAUGUCUGUUUCUGGCUGAUCUAAUUACUGACACUUAAGAUAUGACACCUAGUUCAGAUAUUUACUGAUAUCAAUUAUUUUAUAUUAAUCUCUUACCGACAUGCCAUCAAAAGUAUGGAUAGUCAUAUGACAGCUGCUAUCCAGCUCAACCGUAACUGCCUUUCAGUUGUAUUCUAGUUUAUUUACCAUAUGAGCAGCA